rnacentral:rRNA from 1 species
UACGGGGGGGGCAAGCGUUGUUCGGAAUUACUGGGCGUAAAGGGCUCGUAGGCGGCCAACUAAGUCAGAUGUGAAAUCCCUCGGCUUAACCGGGGAACUGCGUCUGAUACUGGAUGGCUUGAGAUUGGGAGAGGGAUGCGGAAUUCCAGGUGUAGCGGUGAAAUGCGUAGAUAUCUGGAGGAACACCGGCGGCGAAGGCGGCAUCCUGGACCAACACUGACGCUGAGGAGCGAAAGCCAGGGGAGCAAACAGG